GGCUGUAUACCACCCUGAACACCCCCCAUCUCGUCUGAUCUCGGAAGCUAAGCAGGGUCGGGCCUGGUUAGUACUUGGAUGGGAGAAUGAUCUCAGGCUGUAAGGUCC
rnacentral:rRNA from 1 species